UGAAGCGUGGACGCCAGUCUGCGUGGAGCCGACCUUGAAAUACCACCCUUUAAUGUUUGAUGUUCUAACGUGGACCCGUGAUCCGGGUUGCGGACAGUGUCUGGUGGGUAGUUUGACUGGGGCGGUCUCCUCCUAAAGAGUAACGGAGGAGCACGAAGGUUGGCUAAUCCUGGUCGGACAUCAGGAGGUUAGUGCAAUGGCAUAAGCCAGCUUGACUGCGAGCGUGACGGCGCGAGCAGGUGCGAAAGCAGGUCAUAGUGAUCCGGUGGUUCUGAAUGGAAGGGCCAUCGCUCAACGGAUAAAAGGUACUCCGGGGAUAACAGGCUGAUACCGCCCAAGAGUUCAUAUCGACGGCGGUGUUUGGCACCUCGAUGUCGGCUCAUCACAUCCUGGGGCUGAAGUAGGUCCCAAGGGUAUGGCUGUUCGCCAUUUAAAGUGGUACGCGAGCUGGGUUUAGAACGUCGUGAGACAGUUCGGUCCCUAUCUGCCGUGGGCGCUGGAGAACUGAGGGGGGCUGCUCCUAGUACGAGAGGACCGGAGUGGACGCAUCACUGGUGUUCGGGUUGUCAUGCCAAUGGCACUGCCCGGUAGCUAAAUGCGGAAGAGAUAAGUGCUGAAAGCAUCUAAGCACGAAACUUGCCCCGA
rnacentral:rRNA from 1 species